rnacentral:rRNA from 1 species
AUUGAACGCUGGCGGCAUGCUUUACACAUGCCAGUCGAACGGUAACAGGCCGCAAGGUGCUGACGAGUGGCGCACGGGUGAGUAAUGCAUCGGAACGUGCCCAGUCGUGGGGGAUAACUACUCGAAAGGGUAGCUAAUACCGCAUACGAUCUAUGGAUGAAAGCGGGGGACCGUAAGGCCUCGCGCGAUUGGAGCGGCCGAUGUCAGAUUAGGUAGUUGGUGGGGUAAAGGCUCACCAAGCCAACGAUCUGUAGCUGGUCUGAGAGGACAACCAGCCACACUGGGACUGAGACACGGCCCAGACUCCUACGGGAGGCAGCAGUGGGGAAUUUUGGACAAUGGGCGCAAGCCUGAUCCAGCAAUGCCGCGUGCAGGAAGAAGGCCUUCGGGUUGUAAACUGCUUUUGUACGGAACGAAACGGCUCUGGUUAAUACCCGGGGCUAAUGACGGUACCGUAAGAAUAAGCACCGGCUAACUACGUG